CACAGAGGGCAGAGAGCUGGGUUUGCCGAGCUCUGGACCGGGUGAUCUGACAUCAGCUGCCUGCCGCUGUCGUGUCGUCCCUGCUCACAGCAGUCCUCAGCCACUCGGCUUAUGAAAGUGUCAUGACUUUCUGCCUCCAGAGCAACCAAGCAAAUUUCUUCAGAAUCUGGACACUGGGUUUCUCAAUUCGAUGGCCUCAGGAAAGAUACGAACUAACUAUCCUCUUUACAUCUGUAAUGGAUGGGAGAAGAGUGGUUGGAAAAUCCAGUGGAAAUAAAAUAUUUGCUCUGCUGAAGAGGGAAAAUGGGGAGGAAAAUAGAAGAAGAAGAAGGAGAAGAAGAAGAAGAAGAGGAAGAGGAAUAAGAAGAGGAAAAGGAAGAAAAGGAAGAGGAAGAGGAAGAAGAAGGAGGAGAGGAAGAAAAACGCCUGCGGGCACUGCUGGCCAGUGUGGUCCAGUGUUUGAGGCAAGGCUGGUGGGGAACUGGGAGGCCUCUCUGGCCCUGGUCACCUGGGUUAACCGCCUGACCCUGCCUGGGGGCCCCCAGCCCCUGCCUGACCACCAUAGUCUUGUUUGUCUCGUAGAUGGACCUUGGUCUUAUGCUGUAGGUAGCUCAUCUCCUGGACGAGCCUGUUUUUCUGAGCUGCUAAGUAUGCCCUACUCCAGGCGCAAGUUGCUCCUGUGAAGCUAGACCCUGUGUCUACUGAGUGCAGUGGCAAAGGUCUCAUGUGCUGCUGAGGCAAACCCUGAGCAGACAGGUCUAGUGGUUUCCAAUAUUUUAUUCUGAUUCAUUAACUUUUCUUUGAGAGGGAACGAGUAAUUUGAAAGAGGAAUGGUUUUUGCCUUGCGUGCUGGGACACCAGUUUCUCAUGGUAAAAGGUAUUAUUGUUUGCAAAGCAUGCAUGUCAUUCACGCUGGCCUUCAGACACAGAAAGGCUGGUACAGUGGCACUUUCCUCCCAGCUAGGCCAGAGGGUAGCCUUUUCCUGGAUGUGAUGCAGAAAAGAAAAUAAUUAUAGAAUUGGAGAAUGGCGCUGAGCAGCUCCAUGGUUCCUCCCCGUGCCCCAUCAGAGCCCCAAUGGAUGUUCACGCAUGGGGACAGCUGCUGGGGGUCCUGCAGCAUCAUGAAGCCCCAGGUUCCUUGGGAGUCUGCGCUGUGGAGCUCUUGCAGGCCGAAUGGACGCUGGAAUGCUCCUGAGCCUGAGGUGGUGAGUGAAAGGUCUUGGUGGUUGCGAAGGCGAUCAGAGAUGAUACCUAGAUGAUCCUAGCAAGCAUGGAUUUUGAGUCUCAGCUGUGUUUCACCGUACCUUCAGCACUGUAUGGCUUCUAACGAGGGCUUUCUCCCCCCCUUUCUUUUGUUCUGUAGUUGCCCAGAGCAAGGGACAUCUUUACCCUUCCUUCUUUUACAACAAUGGUGAAAACUGCACAUAGGACGCUCCAGACCUCUUCUUCAGCACUUGUGCCAGCCCAGGCCUGUCCCUUUCUUGUGGCUGGAGACAUCCAGCCCUGGAGACACUCUGAUCUCUUCUCCUUGGGCUGGUGAAAGUCAGUCCAGGCAGUUUUGUUAAGGCUUUAUUUCAGCUUUUUCUUUCCUCAAAGUGCUUUAGAGACACUGGGCAAUGCAUCUUCCCUGAAUUUGCUUUAGUACUGACAAGUUAAAAUUUCCUGCAGGAGGAAACUCAGGCA
ensembl:lncRNA